GUUAAAAAGAGUUACAUGCCUGGGUAUCUGAAGCGGGUAAAUGCGCCCUGGUGCUUGCCAGUAUAGUAUACUGGAUGGCACGCUGCGCAAUGUGCGAGGUGUGGGUCUAUUAGUUAUAAAAUGGUUAAUUGAGAUUGGUGCCAGCCAGCCUACCAGGCUAAACUUAUGGUGGGAGGCGGGUGGUUAUCUCAGACCGCUUUUUAGUAUUGAGCGUAGGUAGAGGCGUGCAUCAGGCAAAUUAAAAGAAAAGAAACUCAUAAACGUAGGUACAUGAGAGCAGAGUUAUAGCAGGAGUCCAACAGGUUAAAUAAGGUCUGUAGUAUCAUG